GGAUUGCCACUGGGAUGUUCUCUGUGUAAUGGUGACCUUCAGGAUGCUGAUUUUUCUUUGUGUGAGAUAAACAUGAAACACAGCAGAGCUCCCACGGAGCUAGAUCAGCAGUAUAGCCCCUUUUAAAAGCUGUGCUUAGUUCCCACUUUCACAAUGCUUGCUCGGGGAUGCUCACAUUCACUGGUUACUUCUUUCAGUACAGAUAUUCUGUAUGAACAAUAUCAAAGAGGAAAAAGCCAGGAGUAGAAGCUACUUCUCUCUUGUUUUCAUGUAACAGCUGCCAUGCACGCAGCCCCAAAAUCAAUACAGUUUCAGAAAGGAUUUCCAGAGAAAGAAUGAUCUAUCCUACUUCCACAGAUGCGAUUCAAUGCCAAGCAGCAAGCUGCAGCUGACCUCUGGCUAUUUUCACUGCUCCCUUCUGGACUCCCUCCAGUUACUCCCACCUUGCAGGAAGUGCCUUUCCCGAAACUGGAUGCAGCAGUUUGGCUACAGAUGCUGAUUAGAGUGGAACAAAUACUGUACAAACCCUGUAGGUAAUGCCUCUGUUUAUAUAUCUCAGUGCUGUGCUUGCUUUUCUAGCAACAGCAGCAGAUUAACUCCUGCUGGCUUCAGACCCACUGUGGCUCUCAGAUCUGCAGAAGUACUGCCCCCAAAAAUUGGUUUCUGUCUAAUCACUGAGUAAUGGCUGCAUAUGCUAUAUUCUUUUUGAGCUGUGCCUACGUGGAAGGAAGAAAGGUCAUUUCUCCAGAUUGUCAAGCAAAUAUUGUGCUUUAAUGACACUCACCAGCAUCACUGCCUGUGCCACUAUCUUGGUGCCUAAAAUUUAAUAGGGUUGCUUCCUAUUUUGAUACCUUAGUUCUGAAUGUUGAUUUGCAAACAAGCAAACAAACAAAAACAAACAAAAAAACAAAAAAACAAGAUAGGACUUAAUCUACUGUUGUGCUUUUGUAGCAAAUGACCAAACACUUUUCUGGUAUGGUUAUCCACUUCUCCUUCCACCCAACCGUAUUUCAUCCUGACCUGGUUUGCCUAGUUUACUUGUAUAAAGAUCACACCAGUCAACAUCAAAAG
rnacentral:lncRNA from 1 species